rnacentral:tRNA from 1 species
GCCCAGGUCCGUUCGAGGCCAAGAACACCGUCGACGCACGUCGACGACCAAUCGGCGGUUCAAAUCCGUCCCUGGGCA